CAAUAGCGUAUAUUAAAGUUGUUGCGGUUAAAAAGCUCGUAGUUGGAUUUCUGCUGAGGACGACCGGUCCGCCCUCUGGGUGAGUAUCUGGCUCGGCCUGGGCAUCUUCUUGGAGAACGUAACUGCACUUGACUGUGUGGUGCGGUAUCCAGGACUUUUACUUUGAAAAAUUAGAGUGUUCAAAGCAGGCUGCUCGCCUGCAUAGUGUUGCAUGGAAUAAUGGAAUAGGACCUCGGUUCUAUUUUGUUGGUUUUCGGAGCGCGAGGUAAUGAUUAAGAGGGACAGACGGGGGCGUCCGUACUCUGCCGUUAGAGGUGAAAUUCUUGGAUCGGCGGAAGACGAACUACUGCGAAAGCAUUCGCCAAGAAUGUUUUCUUUAAUCAAGAGCGAAAGUCAGAGGUUCGAAGACGAUUAGAUACCGU
rnacentral:rRNA from 1 species